GACGAACGCUGGCGGCGUGCUUAACACAUGCAAGUCGAACGGAAAGGCCCUGCUUUUGUGGGGUGCUCGAGUGGCGAACGGGUGAGUAACACGUGAGUAACCUGCCCUUGACUUUGGGAUAACUUCAGGAAACUGGGGCUAAUACCGGAUAGGAGCUCCUGCUGCAUGGUGGGGGUUGGAAAGUUUCGGCGGUUGGGGAUGGACUCGCGGCUUAUCAGCUUGUUGGUGGGGUAGUGGCUUACCAAGGCUUUGACGGGUAGCCGGCCUGAGAGGGUGACCGGCCACAUUGGGACUGAGAUACGGCCCAGACUCCUACGGGAGGCAGCAGUGGGGAAUAUUGCACAAUGGGCGGAAGCCUGAUGCAGCAACGCCGCGUGCGGGAGGACGGCCUUCGGGUGGUAAACCGCUUUCGCCUGUGACGAAGCGUGAGUGACGGGAAUGGGGAAAGAAGCACCGGCUAACUACGU
rnacentral:rRNA from 1 species